AGAGUUUGAUCCUGGCUCAGGACGAACGCUGGCGGCGUGCCUAACACAUGCAAGUCGAGCGGAGUAGAGUUCAACACUGAGUAUUCGAGCGUUGGCAAAAGUUAAGCCAGCGUCAUGCACAAACUACCUUGUUGAUAGACAUAUUUAAAAGAAAGUUUUGUGCAUCACGCUAAAUUAAGUGCCUAACACAAUGCUAUGACUAAAACAAGUCAAAAUAGUAUUGAUAAGAAACGCCACACUUGAGUGCUGAGUGUUGGACUCUACUUAGCGGCGGACGGGUGAGUAACGCGUGGGCAACCUGCCUUGCACAGGGGGAUAACACAGGGAAACUUGUGCUAAUACCGCAUAACAUCACGGGGAGGCAUCUUCCUGUGAUCAAAGGAGAAAUCCGGUGCAAGAUGGGCCCGCGUCCGAUUAGCUAGUUGGUGAGGUAACGGCUCACCAAGGCGACGAUCGGUAGCCGAACUGAGAGGUUGAUCGGCCACAUUGGGACUGAGACACGGCCCAGACUCCUACGGGAGGCAGCAGUGGGGAAUAUUGCGCAAUGGGGGAAACCCUGACGCAGCAACGCCGCGUGAAGGAAGAAGGCCUUCGGGUUGUAAACUUCUUUGAUUGGGGACGAAGAAAGUGACUGUACCCAAAAAACAAGCCACGGCUAACUACGUGCCAGCAGCCGCGGUAAUACGUAGGUGGCAAGCGUUGUCCGGAAUUACUGGGUGUAAAGGGCGUGUAGGCGGGGAUGCAAGUCAGAUGUGAAAUUCCGGGGCUUAACCCCGGCGCUGCAUCUGAAACUGUAUCUCUUGAGUGCUGGAGAGGAAAGCGGAAUUCCUAGUGUAGCGGUGAAAUGCGUAGAUAUUAGGAGGAACACCAGUGGCGAAGGCGGCUUUCUGGACAGUAACUGACGCUGAGGCGCGAAAGCGUGGGGAGCAGACAGGAUUAGAUACCCUGGUAGUCCACGCCGUAAACGAUGGAUACUAGGUGUAGGAGGUAUCGACCCCUUCUGUGCCGGAGUUAACACAAUAAGUAUCCCACCUGGGGAGUACGGCCGCAAGGUUGAAACUCAAAGGAAUUGACGGGGGCCCGCACAAGCAGUGGAGUAUGUGGUUUAAUUCGAAGCAACGCGAAGAACCUUACCAGGGCUUGACAUCCCUUGAAAGUCCUAGAGAUAGGAUUUCUCUUCGGAGCAAGGAGACAGGUGGUGCAUGGUUGUCGUCAGCUCGUGUCGUGAGAUGUUGGGUUAAGUCCCGCAACGAGCGCAACCCCUGUUGUUAGUUGCCAUCAUUAAGUUGGGCACUCUAGCGAGACUGCCGGUGACAAAUCGGAGGAAGGUGGGGACGACGUCAAAUCAUCAUGCCCCUUAUGUCCUGGGCUACACACGUACUACAAUGGCUGUUACAAAGGGAAGCUAAGCCGCGAGGUGGAGCAAAUCCCCAAAGGCAGCCCCAGUUCAGAUUGCAGGCUGAAACUCGCCUGCAUGAAGUCGGAAUUGCUAGUAAUGGCAGGUCAGCAUACUGCCGUGAAUACGUUCCCGGGCCUUGUACACACCGCCCGUCACACCAUGAGAGUCUGCAACACCCGAAGUCAGUAGUCUAACCGCAAGGAGGACGCUGCCGAAGGUGGGGCCGAUGAUUGGGGUGAAGUCGUAACAAGGUAGCC
rnacentral:rRNA from 1 species